AUGGCCCGGCCGUCGGUAUGUAGAAGUCCGCGGAGUCCGCCCUUGCCGACUCUACCGUCACGAACCCGACUCCCCGCCUCGCCCAGACCCCGCCCAUCAGCGUCUCACGCCCCUGGCAACCUAGCAACCGCCCGGCUGCAGCGCGCAGACUCCCGAGGGCGCCCCCUGGGUCCGCAAAAGGCAGCGCAGCCGGGCCCCACGGAGCCAGAGCCGACGAGCCUCGCCCCUCCGCGCCGCCUCCCCGGCCGGGCCGCCAGGAGGCGCCCGGAGCCCGCCACGCCUCACAGCGCAGCCCCGGGUGCUGCCGGCCCCGGGAUCCCGGUGCGAGGUCCCAGGCAACUCCCCCGCCCCGAACGCCCGGCCCCGGCCCGCCGCCGCCUCCGCCGGCGCUCCCGGUCCUCGCCCGCCCGCGGCCUCGCGUCCUUCUGCCGCCGCCACGGAGCAGCCCCGGAGGAAGCCGGCGCGGGACGCAGCCGCUGCCCGAGCCCCGCUGAGCCGGGCCCGCGUGCACGGGCGGCCCCGAAAGGCGCGGGCCGGAAGAAGCGCGGGGCCGUCUGCGGGGACAGAAGGUCGGGCCGGCUCGCGGCCAGCGGCGUCUCCGGGCAUCCGUGUAGACCGCGAGCCGCGCGUCGCCGGUCUCUUCCCGCGAUGCCCCUGCACCUCCCCGGGGCUGGAGGGCGGCGGCGAAGGCGGGCGGGAAACUCAGUCCUCCCUGGACCCCCAGCCCUGGCUGGCCGCGCGCACGCGAGGCACAGCCCGAGGAGUCCCGGCCCCACCUCCCGGCCUCCUUCGCCCCCAUUUCCUCCUCCAGGUAGCCCUCCUGGCCCUCAGGGCCCCACCCGAGCAGGUCCCAUCCUGUCCCUCCCCGCACACCCUCCGGCCUCCCCCGCCCGCAGCCUCCUUCCCUUUGGCGCAUCGCGACCUCCUUCACGGCGCCAGCGCCAGGAGGAAGCCCAAUCUCCUUGCCCCGCCGGCGGCUUCCUUGAAGCCAAGGGCCUCCUCCUCCGAGCGCCUCUGCACCUGCGAGCUCCCCGGCGGCAGGAGCCCGGGGGGUGGGGGCGGGGUGGGGGCCCACGGCGCCACAGGAACCUGGCAGGAAGCGUGGGGGGUGGCGGGCCCCUCUGCAGCCUUGCUCCGCGCUGUCCCAGCCCCGCGCUUGCAGAUUUCCUCUGCACCAGGUGUCGCUGA
rnacentral:lncRNA from 1 species